UGAGAAUGACAAGGGGAAGAGUCUUGACAUUUUAACUAAAUAUUUUCAAGGAUCUGUGACAGGGACCAAUGUUUUGCGUGUCCAUCACAAGAGCAGUGGCUCAAAUCCCAAUUAAACUACAUGUGUGAGGCGGGCAAUAGAGCAUGUAAGAAAACGUAAUUUUUGUGACUAAUUUUAUAACUACUAAAAGUGCUACAAAACACCCGAUCACAAAGGCCAGUGGCCUGGCUGCUGUUUCCAGGACACUGGAAUGGCCCCAGGGUCUCCGUCCUGGGCUGUAGAGUACCAUUACCUGGGCAGACUUGCGACCCCACCCCCAGAUUCUGACCCAGCCGGCCUGCUGCCUGGACUCAGGGUUUUUCCCACUGUCCCUGUAUGUGACUCAGACCAUGCAGCCGAGCUUCAGAGCCAUUGCUGCAGUGACGCGUCAGUCACCUGGCAGCUCUGCCCACAGUCAGAGCACUGAUGGAGGCCAGAAGGAAUCGCGGGAACUGCAUUUGGAAAGACUGCAGGUGACCUGAUGAAUAGCCAAGGGUGACAACCUCCACAUGAAAGCUGACCUGGUCAGGGUCCUCGGCAGCUUGUCACACUGUACUUAAUCUGUGUAGCGAGCGAUCUGCUCGUCUGCCUCUCAUGGGCGGGAAAGCUCCACGAGAGCGGCAGGUGUGUCUGUCUGCUCACCACUCGUGUCUGCACAGCACCCGCCACACGACAGGCGCCCAACAAACAGCCCUCAAGUAAAAAGUGAACCUCAUAACUCAAAGUUGUAAAGGCAUUUCUGUAGGCAAAAAAACUCCUGUUCGCCUGGAUUUUUGUUUUACUGAAAUUCAGCUUUUUUCUCCACGCUAAUGUGAAAUGCAACCCCCAAAUCCACAGUCUAUCAGAAGUGCUGCAUCUUAUUUUAAACUAAGAUCUAACUUGUUAAAAGCAUGGACAUAAAUACCCCAAGACUUUAGAAAACGAGUUUUUACAGAAUAACUGGUGGUAGGAGCUCUGCAACCUGCGUGUUAGGUUCCCUUGCUGUGACAUCUAACUGCUCAUAGACCUUCGCAUGCUGUUCGUUCACCUGCCGCAGAAGCUCCACCUGCUUGCUCAGAAUCUCGGAUACACAGCCUCCAAUGAAUCUGACUGGACUGCCAACAUCCUAAAAUUCACGUGCCAAAAAGACUACGUGUACAAAAGUAUCUGCCAUUUCAAAUGGGGAAAGGGAGAGAUGUAAGCAAAACAGUGGGAGAAGGAGACUAUGACGUAGCAAAAAUACAGGCCAAAGUGUCCACUUACAUGCCAGAGCACCAAAGUGUACGUGCCGGGAAGCUGCGUCUCGUACGAGAUGUCUCGUACGCCUGGGAACGUGCACAGAACGUCACCUCAGCCAUGAGCACAAGGUUCAGGUUCGCUUAGAAGCUACAAACAGGCCACCUUUAUACCUGAGGCAAACGUUUGAGAAAGAAAGGCCAGCAGGACGAUAUGAAAACCUAUUUGCAACAGAGCCGUGACCGCAUGCAGGAAAAGAUGAACACAACCCCAACUAAAAAAUGCCUUCAGAAUGGAAUGGAAAUUUGGCUUUUAUGCAGUGCUGGGAUUAUCCUUAGAUUAAGGAUUAAGCCCCAGUCCUCUGAAUUCAGUAUCCAAAUGACCUUCCACAAUCCUGAAGAAAUAUUUCCUAUUACCUUUGAAAAACCUCUUUACCCUGAUGAAAAUACUGUAUUCCCUCAGGAGAAAAUUUAGGGGGAAACAAGCACGAAUGUGAAAAUAAAAACCACCUCUGAUCUCACUAUGAAAAGCUUGGCUUGUUUUUAUGAUUUAUUUUCCAGUAAUUGAAAAGAACUUAUUUUUUUCAGAAUUAAGAUUCUUUUAUUACUGAAAUUUGUCAAACGAGGAUAAACUGUACAAUGGCUUACACUUUUAAAAUACGCGCUUCCGUACUCUCC